CUUCAUUAUGCUGCUGACAACGGACAAGAAAGAAUUGUUCAAUUUCUUUUAGAACAAGGAGCGUCUAUUGACGUCCGUGAUAAAAAUAGUGAAACUGCACUCUACCAGGCAGCUGUGGGUGGACACUGCAGCGCAUUCAGAAUUCUUCUUGAAAACCAAGCCAACGUUGAAUUGCGAGAUAUCCACAAGAAAACAUUUUUGGACGUGAUUUAUCAUAAAAUUACCAAUGAGCAC